rnacentral:rRNA from 1 species
GAUGAACGCUGGCGGCGUGCCUAAUACAUGCAAGUCGAGCGAACGGACGAGAAGCUUGCUUCUCUGAUGUUAGCGGCGGACGGGUGAGUAACACGUGGAUAACCUACCUAUAAGACUGGGAUAACUUCGGGAAACCGGAGCUAAUACCGGAUAAUAUUUUGAACCGCAUGGUUCAAAAGUGAAAGACGGUCUUGCUGUCACUUAUAGAUGGAUCCGCGCUGCAUUAGCUAGUUGGUAAGGUAACGGCUUACCAAGGCAACGAUGCAUAGCCGACCUGAGAGGGUGAUCGGCCACACUGGAGCUGAGACACGGUCCAGACUCCUACGGGAGGCAGCAGUAGGGAAUCUUCCGCAAUGGGCGAAAGCCUGACGGAGCAACGCCGCGUGAGUGAUGAAGAUCUUCGGAUCGUAAAACUCUGUUAUUAGGGAAGAACAUAUGUGUAAGUAACUGUGCACAUCUUGACGGUACCUAAUCAGAAAGCCACGGCUAACUACGUG